GUGCUCGCUUCAGCAGCACAUAUUCUAAAAUUGAAAUGAUACAGAGAAGAUUAGCAUGAUCCCUGCACGAGGAUGAAACGCAAAUUUGUGCAGCGUUUCAAAAAAGA